UCAUUAUAUGAGCUUGGUUUUACAAAAUUCAAGAUUAAUAUAACCAUUUCUCAAGAAAGAUAUUCUAUUCGUCAGUGUUACAUCGUCUGCGUGUUUCUUAUAUUUAUUAGUAUACAUAAUUUAUGAACAAUUUUAUGAGAGCACACAUGCAUAUACAUUUUCGGCCUUUUCCUGCCACCAGAGAAAUUCCGUACAGAACAUACAGAACAAUCUCUUCUUUUCUACCAAGCAAUUUUCUCAAAUGU
rnacentral:lncRNA from 1 species